rnacentral:rRNA from 1 species
GACGUAGGGCGCGAGCGUUGUCCGGAUUUAUUGGGCGUAAAGAGCUCGUAGGCGGCUUGUCGCGUCGUUCGUGAAAACCUGCAGCUCAACUGCAGGCUUGCGGUCGAUACGGGCAGGCUAGAGUUCGGUAGGGGAGACUGGAAUUCCUGGUGUAGCGGUGAAAUGCGCAGAUAUCAGGAGGAACACCCGUGGCGAAAGCGGCUCUCUGGAACGGUACUGACGCUGAGACGCGAAAGCGUGGGGAGCGAACAGG